CACUCCUCCCACAUCGGGCAGGAACGGGUAGGUCCUGGGCUAUAAGAAGCGGGGUGCUGCACACCUGUGAUAACCGGUUUUCAUGGGAGAGGGUAAUGACCCCGUGACAAAGGUGUGACGAGGAAAGGUCCACUCCUCCCACAUCGGGCAGGAACGGGUAGGUCCUGGGCUAUAAGAAGCGGGGUGCUGCACACCUGUGAUAACCGGUUUUCAUGGGAGAGGGUAAUGACCCCGUGACAAAGUGGUAUCAGAGCGGACCUGUUGCCUCGUCCCGACUCACACCAAGCGCCCGGGUCCGGGAAAGGCCGGAGAGGGGUAGGCAGGGUGGCCGGCGGCAGCGGUGCGCCCGACAACGGGGACGUUGUCGAAUCGGGUGGGUGAGGGUGUGACGAGGAAAGGUCCACUCCUCCCACAUCGGGCAGGAACGGGUAGGUCCUGGGCUAUAAGAAGCGGGGUGCUGCACACCUGUGAUAACCGGUUUUCAUGGGAGAGGGUAAUGACCCCGUGACAAAGUGGUAUCAGAGCGGACCUGUUGCCUCGUCC